UACGGGGGGCAGCAGUGGGGAAUAUUGCACAAUGGGCGAAAGCCUGAUGCAGCGACGCCGCGUGAGGGAUGACGGCCUUCGGGUUGUAAACCUCUUUCAGCUAGGGAAGAAGCGCAAGUGACGGUACCUGCAGAAGAAGCACCGGCUAACUACGUGCCAGCAGCCGCGGUAAU
rnacentral:rRNA from 1 species